rnacentral:rRNA from 1 species
AUUACGGGGUGCAGCAGGCGCGAAACCUCCGCAAUACACGAAAGUGUGACGGGGUUACCCAAAGUGCUCUUUCUAGAGCUGUGGUAGGUGAGUAAUGUUCCCUACUAGAAAGGAGAGGGCAAGGCUGGUGCCAGCCGCCGCGGUAAAACCAGCUCUUCAAGUGGUCGGGAUAAUUAUUGGGCUUAAAGUGUCCGUAGCCGGUUUAGUAAGUUCCUGGUAAAAUCGGGUAGCUUAACUAUCUAUAUGCUAGGAAUACUGCUAUACUAGAGGGCGGGAGAGGUCUGAGGUACUACAGGGGUAGGGGUGAAAUCUUAUAAUCCUUGUAGGACCACCAGUGGCGAAGGCGUCAGACUGGAGCGCGCCUGACGGUGAGGGACGAAAGCCAGGGGAGCGAACCGGAUUAGAUACCCGGGUAGUCCUGGCCGUAAACGAUGCAUACUAGGUGAUGGCACGGCCAUGAGCCGUGUCAGUGCCGUAGGGAAACCGUUAAGUGUGCCGCCUGGGAAGUACGGUCGCAAGGCUAAAACUUAAAGGAAUUGGCGGGGGAGCACAAU